GAAGAAGGUAAUACAUCGUUCUUAUGCCCUUUGUCGUUGUGGAGGCCUCUGAUUGGCCCAGAACAGUCUUCUGCCACAGUUCAGUUCAUUUCUCUGUGAACCCAGACCCAGUGCCCUGCCCACCUCAAUCGUGGCCACCGAGAGUUUUCCCGGUGGCCAUGCCUCAAUACGGUACAGCUCUAGCUGUGUAAGGAACUUAUACUACCAACAGGGGAUACCAGACUCUGCUUGAUCAUAUGAACCUUAGUGUGUUAGUUCUUAACAGGAAAAAGUAAUUGACCUCAAAAGUGGUUUUUUAAGUAUCGACGAAGGCUGGAAGUAUCAAACAAAAUGUGCAGGAGACUGGGAACUGCAAAGUACAUUAUACUGCCUCUAAACUGGAGUACAUUGACCACUGGAUUCAGUGAAAAGAUACAUCCCUCAGUUACUGAGAGAAAGGUAUUCCAUUUCUCCACGGAGGAUGAUACAUGCUACAAAGAUCUACUCGAGAACACUUUGCCUGUGACUAAACGUGUGUUACGAAAGUCUGUGGAAGACAAGUUGCUAUGAAGAUUUGUCAAGGGAAGCUCCUGAGAGAAGACAAGUUGCUAUGAAGAUCUGUGCAAGGGAAGCUCCUGAGAGAACAGUUUUCUACCACAAGAAAUGCUAUUAAGGUUUGUGUAAGAAACACAAAGGCAAGCUGCCAUAUGUGCAAGGGACAACCCUAAAUUAAACCCUGCUGUAAAGCUCUGCAUUAUUUUUUAUUUAUGUCCUAAAUUAAAAACUUUUAAAUUGAGGUCUUCCCUUGCAACAAAGGCAAGCUAUCAAUGUGCAAGGGAA